CCCACCCCCUCGGCCGGGUGCCGGUGGUGGGGGCGGUGGAGUAGAGGGGCUGGCUUGGCUCGGCUCUUCUCGCAGAUCCUCAUCCUUCGGGGAAUGAAAAGACUGGGUGGGAAAUGCUGUAUAUGCAAGGUGUUAUGCAAAAGGAAUCAGCCCCCUGAAGACGUCGGCUGGUGGAGAUGCCCACCAAAAGCUGUGUGUUGAAAACAAAAUCUUAAGUCACUGAUCCAAGCUGCAGUCGAGGGAUGACUGGUGAUGGAGAGCCUUGUGAAAGCUACAGGGAAUGAUUGUUUUAGAGCCCACUUGUCAACAGCAUGGGUAUAUAAAGGGGUUGAAGUGAUUUGAUGAGGUGUCCCAUCUCUGCUUUUCCCACUGAAGUCAAAUACUACUCCUCUGACCUGGAAGACAAAGGGGAAGACACCCAGCUUCAUGACUAGUGCCCCACUUACAUCAUGUGAAAGCAUAAAUGCCACACUGGCUGAAGAGGC